UUAUUGACGCCCACUGCAUCUACAGUACCUGUUACUGACGCCCACUGCAUUUACAGUACCUGCUACUGACGCCCACAAAUAUCUACAGUACCUGUUAUUGACGCCCACAACAUCUACAGUACCUGUUAUUGACGCCCACUGCAUCUGUGAGCGCCUCCUACUAACACCCACUACAGUACAUCUACAAACCUACUUUUAACUGCUGGGUGUACUUCCUAGUGAAGAUUUAUCGCCAGCUCCAGGCGCCACUAAAGUUGAUCUGGUAGCGGCCACGUGAGGACGACCCCCAACACAGAUAUUUUGGUGUGGUCCAGGUGGCGGCUGGUGAUCAUUAACUCCUCAGGAGCAGCCGCUGAUUGGUGUAGACGUCUCCCCUAGCGGACAGGUGAGUG